UGUACAUAUAGUAGCAAUCCUAAUUAGCAGCAGGUAGAAGCUGUGGGUAAGUUUCACUUUCAGCAACUAUUAGCUUUUUGUGCUUUGCAAAUUUUUCCCACGCCUCCAGAAAUGAGUUUGCUAAAAUUUUUGUUCCGUCAGAUGUAAUAAGGUCAUACUCUCUAUUCUCUUCUGUUAUUUUUAUAAUCUCUUCGAGACAACUUGACAGCUCUUCAGCAUCUUCAGAUUCAUUCACAAAAAUACCCCAAAAGUGAAUGGCAUCCAUUAAAAAUGCUAUCAAUUUCUUGAUAGAGCUAAUUUUCUCAUGGCAAUCCUUGCAUUUUUCCUCACAUUGAGCAAUAGAUACUUGCUUUUGAUUGAUUGAUGACUGAUGGCUGCUUAUCUCAUUUUGAGCUGAUUGUAGGGAACUUCUGGCAUGAUUUAAACUACUGUCGGCACUUGAAACCUGUUGCUGACAAGUAAAAACAUGAUUUUCAGCCCAGUUGACAUCACUGCUAGUUAUUGCACAAGGUUUUUAAUAUUCCGCUACUUGCUGUUAGUUUAUCCAUACAUAAUAUUGAUCUAGUAUUGCCCCUAGCUUUUUUCAAUAAAAUCUGCUUUAUAAGCCAAAAUUUAUAUUUUCUUUUUAUCCCAUAGGAUUUAUCUGGCAGUCAUCUCUAGUUUUAACCCUAAUUUAAAGAGAAUAAAAGUAAAACUCUCUUUUGGUUCGAGACGUAUUAUUCAUUGAAACAGCUGGAGAUGAUCAACUGCUGCAACCUGAUGAUUUUAUAAUGAUGACUGGAUAUCAGUGGUUCUGAGAAAAAUGACAGUACCUGAAAUACUGGACUCGUUAAGUAAACUCUCCUGGUAAGA